GAUGAACGCUAGCGGGAGGCCUAAUACAUGCAAGUCGAACGGUAACAGGUAGCAAUACGCUGACGAGUGGCGCACGGGUGAGUAACACGUACACAACCUGCCUAUGACUGGGGCAUAACUUCGGGAAACUGAAGCUAAUUCCCCAUAACACUGCAGAAAGGCCUCUUUCAGCAGUUAAAGCCCCGGCGGUCAUAGAUGGGUGUGCGUUUGAUUAGCUAGUUGGUAAGGUAACGGCUUACCAAGGCUACGAUCAAUAACUGGUCUGAGAGGAUGAUCAGUCACACGGGCACUGAGACACGGGCCCGACUCCUACGGGAGGCAGCAGUAGGGAAUAUUGGACAAUGGAGGCAACUCUGAUCCAGCCAUCCCGCGUGAAGGAUUAAGGCCCUAUGGGUUGUAAACUUCUUUUCUCUGGGAAUAAAAUCCGGGAUUUAUCCUGGCUUGAAGGUACCAGAGGAAUAAGCACCGGCUAACUCCGUGCCAGCCGCCGCCGUAAUAC
rnacentral:rRNA from 1 species